GAUUAAGCCAUGCAUGUCUAAGUACUUGCCGCGUUAAGGCGAAACCGCGAAUGGCUCAUUAAAUCGGUCGUGGUUCCUUAGACCGUACCUCACUACUUGGAUAACUGUGGUAAUUCUAGAGCUAAUACAUGCAGCGGAGCUCCGACCCCUCGGGGGACGAGCGCUUUUAUUAGACCAAGACCAAUCGGGCCCCUCGGGGCUCGUUUUCGGUGGCGACUCUGUGUAACUUUGGGCCGAUCGCACGGGCUCGUCCCGGCGACGCGUCUUUCGAGUGUCCGCCUUAUCAACUGUCGACGGUAGGUUAUGCGCCUACCGUGGUCGUAACGGGUGACGGGGGAUCAGGGUUCGAUUCCGGAGAGGGAGCCUGAGAAACGGCUACCACAUCCAAGGAAGGCAGCAGGCGCGCAAAUUACCCACUCCCGGCACGGGGAGGUAGUGACGAAAAAUAACGAUGCGGGACUCAUUCGAGACCCCGUAAUUGGAAUGAGCACACUCUAAGUCCUUUAGCGAGGAACGACUCGAGGGCAAGUCUAGUGCCAGCCGCCGCGGUAAGACUAGUUCGAGUAGCGUAUAUUAAAGUUGUUGCGGUUAAAAAGCUCGUAGUUGGAUCUCAGUUCCAGACGGGCGGUCCGCCUCGCGGCGGCCGCCGCCCGGCCUGAACAACCGGCCGGUUUCCCCGGAUGGCCUUCGCUGGCUGUCUCGGGCGACCGGCGCGUUUACUUUGAAAAAAUUAGAGUGCUCAGAGCAGCGCGACGCCUGGAUAGCGGUGCAUGGAAUAAUGGAAUAGGACCUCGGUUCUAUUUUGUUGGUCUCCGGAGCCCGAGGUAAUGAUUGAGAGGGACGGACGGGGGCAUUCGUAUCGCGACGCUAGAGGUGAAAUUCUUGGACCGUCGCGAGACGGACUACUGCGAAAGCAUUUGCCAAGUACGUUCCCGUUAAUCAAGAACGACAGUCAGAGGAUCGAAGGCGAUCAGAUACCGCCCUAGUUCUGACCAUAAACGAUGCCGACCAGCGAUCCGCCUGGGUUCCUCAAAUGACUCGGCGGGCAGCUUCCGGGAAACCAAAGUCUUUGGGUUCCGGGGGAAGUAUGGUUGCAAAGCUGAAACUUAAAGGAAUUGGCGGAGUGGCACCACAAGGAGUGGAGCUUGCGGCUUAAUUUGACUCAACACGGGAGAGCCCACCCGGUCCGGACACUGGAAGGAUUGACAGAUUAAGAGCUCUUUCUUGAUUCAGUGGAAGGUGGUGCAUGGCCAUUCCUAGUUGGUGGAGCGAUUUGUCUGGUUAAUUCCGUUAACGAGCGAGUUUCUAGCCUGCUAAAUAGGCGACCCGGUCUCUCGAGCCGGGCGUUCUUCUUAGAGGGACGGGCGGCGCUCAGCCGCACGAGACGGAGCGAUAAUAGGUCUGUAAUGCCCUUAGAUGUCCGGGGCCGCACGCGUGCUACACUGGAGGAACCAGCGUGUGCUGACCCUGUCCGGAAGGACUGGGUAAUCCGAUGAACCUCCUCCGUGAUUGGGAUCGCCCUUUGGAACUGGGGCGUGAACGAGGAAUUCCUAGUAAGCGCGAGUCACUAGCUCGCGUUGAUUGGGUCCCUGCCUCUUGCACACACCGCCCGUCGCUACUCCCGAUUGAAUGACCCAGUGAGGUCUUCGGACUGGCGGCGCGAGGGGCCCUCGGCUUCCCGAGUUGCCGGAAAGACGACCGAACUUGGUUAUUAGAGGAAGUAAAAGUCG
rnacentral:rRNA from 1 species